AAUCAACGCUGGCGGCGUGCCUAACACAUGCAAGUCGAACGCGAAAGCCCCUUCGGGGGUUAGUAGAGUGGCGUCCGGGUGAGUAACACGUGGGUAAUCUGCCUUCGGGUGGGGAAUAACCCAGGGAAACUUGGGCUAAUACCGCAUAAUGCAGCGGCACCUAAUGGUGAUUAGUUGUUAAAGCGGGGGAUCGCAAGACCUCGCGCCUGAAGAGGAGCCUGCGGCAGAUUAGCAGUUGGUGAGGUAAUGGCUCACCAAGGCUUCGAUCUGUAGCUGGUCUGAGAGGACGGCCAGCCACACUGGCACUGACACACGGGCCAGACUCCUACGGGAGGCAGCAGUGGGGAAUUUUGGGCAAUGGGCGAAAGCCUGACCCAGCAACGCCGCGUGAGGGAGGAAAUCCUUCGGGAUGUAAACCUCACAAGCAAGGGAAGAGAGCUGCAGGCU
rnacentral:rRNA from 1 species